AUUCCUUGAGAGGGGGUCACCUUGCUACCUGUCCUCACAAACAGCACCCCCGCUGCUCCCCACCAGAAGGCAGAAGUCUGCAGAACGCACUGAAGCAGCCUCCCCUGUGCCUUGCUGCAAGUGUCUCCGCUUUCAAUUGCAAAACAACCACUUAUUGUCUCCUAAGCAUGUUUUAUCUGAGAGCCUGUGUGUUCAUUGGGCUGUGGAAGAAACCUUCCAGCGUCAAGCUCAUUUCCUGAGACUGCUAGCCCCGAAGGAGCUGGGGGAAGAGGCACUGGGGAAAGCCGUGGAGGAGACCGUGCUGAGAAUUAUUUAUAGUGCAAAUGACUCAGGCGUGGUGGAGACAGGCAACACUUUCGAAGAUUAAAAUAGCUAUCAAGGUCAUUGGAUCAUCAUCAAGCUGAGCUCGCAAGUUCUCCUGAAGCCUGGUCAAGAACAUGCCGUACCUCCCAUGUCCCCUGUUCACGGAGAACCUGGGCUACUCACUGGACCAUGGCAGCCUCUCUCCAGGAGCCCAGGCAGAGCCAAGCUCAGUGGCUGCCCUUCCCUGGCAGUAAAGGAGGGGUGCGGAGGGCCCAGGUGUCCUCUUGCUGCCCUCACGUUACCCAGUGAUGGAUGGAUAUGCAUGCAGUCCAGACUGUGCUGAAGAGGACGGACAGUGUACGGCGGAGUUUCCCAGAGGUUCCAUGAUUUGUGUCGCAACAGUUUCACCGCAUAAGCAGGUACAAGUAUCCAGAUGUCCUCCAUGAAGGCAGACAAUAAAGUUUUGCAACAUGUAAAAGAAUGCCACCUUUCACUUUUUUGUUUUGGGAAAUAUAGUUAAUUUUCAUUUAACAAGUUACAUGUGUUAUGUAAUAGGUUGAUUAUUGUUAUUUUAUGUGAAAUAAAUACUUGUGUUUUUUUCCA